rnacentral:rRNA from 1 species
UACAGAGGGGGCAAGCGUUGUUCGGAAUUACUGGGCGUAAAGGGCGCGUAGGCGGCCUUCUAAGUCGAACGUGAAAUCCCUGGGCUCAACCCAGGAACUGCGUCCGAUACUGGGAGGCUUGAAUCCGGGAGAGGGAUGCGGAAUUCCAGGUGUAGCGGUGAAAUGCGUAGAUAUCUGGAGGAACACCGGUGGCGAAGGCGGGUCUCUGGGCCGAUACUGACGCUGAGGAGCGAAAGCGUGGGGAGCAAAACAGGG